AUUGAACGCUGGCGGCAGGCCUAACACAUGCAAGUCGAACGAGUGGCGGACGGGUGAGUAAUGUCUGGGAAACUGCCUGAUGGAGGGGGAUAACUACUGGAAACGGUAGCUAAUACAGCAUACCAUCGGAUGUGCCCAGAUGGGAUUAGCUAGUAGGUGGGGUAACGGCUCACCUAGGCGACGAUCCCUAGCUGGUCUGAGAGGAUGACCAGACACACUGGAACUGCGACACGGUCCAGACUCCUACGGGAGGCAGCAGUCGGGCAUAUUGCACAAUGGGCGCAAGUCUGAUGCAGCCAUGCCGCGUGUAUGAAGAAGGCCUUCUGGUUGUAAAGUACUCUCAGCGGGGCGGCGUUACCCGCAGAAGAAGCACCGGCUAACUCCGUGCCAGCAGCCGCGGUAAUUC
rnacentral:rRNA from 1 species